rnacentral:piRNA from 1 species
UAUUUGGGUAUUUGUUGGUUGUAAAAUGUG